CCAGUAAUACGCCCACGGAGGACGCAUUUUUUUUCGACUUUACGCGCCGCGGGCACGCGUUCCUUUUCUUUUCGUCUGUGUACGACGCACCGUCUGCCGGACAUUCCGCCCGUACGCCGUGCGGUAUAGAUAUUACAGGUACGCGCGAUAAAAAAAAAUUAUUUUUAAGUGAUGAGAUGAGAUCGCUACUCGCGUAUUUAUAUACUGCGGGACGGUAAGUUGUACACCGGAAUCGACCACUGUGCAGAGGCGUAAACGCUAUAAUACACACACGAACGCUUAUAGGCCGUAUUAUAAUACCUGUAUACGAGUUUUUACGAGCAAUAAAAUAAAAUUUAA